rnacentral:rRNA from 1 species
AUACGUAGGGGGCGAGCGUUGUCCGGAAUGAUUGGGCGUAAAGGGCGCGUAGGCGGCCCGGUAAGUCUGGAGUGAAAGUCCUGCUUUUCAGGUGGGAAUUGCUUUGGAUACUGUCGGGCUUGAGUGCAGGAGAGGUAAGUGGAAUUCCCAGUGUAGCGGUGAAAUGCGUAGAGAUUGGGAGGAACACCAGUGGCGAAGGCGACUUACUGGACUGUAACUGACGCUGAGGCGCGAAAGUGUGGGGAGCAAACAGGAUUAGAUACCCUGGUAGUCCACACUGUAAACGAUGAAUGCUAGGUGUAGGGGGUAUCGACCCCCUCUGUGCCGCAGUUAACACAAUAAGUAUUCCGCCUGGGGAGUACGGCCGCAAGGUUGAAACUCAAAGGAAUUGGCGGGG